rnacentral:rRNA from 1 species
UACGUAGGGUCCGAGCGUUGUCCGGAAUUACUGGGCGUAAAGCGAGUGUAGGCGGUUUGGUAAGUCGGAUGUGAAAGCCCCGGGCUCAACCCGGGAAGUGCACUCGAUACUGCCAAGCUAGAGUAUCGGAGAGGUUGGUGGAAUUCCCGGUGUAGCGGUGAAAUGCGCAGAUAUCGGGAGGAACACCUAUGGCGAAGGCAGCUCGCUGGGACGUUACUGACGCUGAGACGCGAAAGCGUGGGGAGCAAACAGG